UGAGUACGAAAAAAACGUGUACCCAUGAGUAUCCCAUCUAAUCUCGAAGAAGUAGAGACGAGAUAGUCGACUUAGACAAUUACUAGUGGUCCAAUAACGAUGUAUCCAUAAUAUAUUAAAUCGUGAAUUUUUAUAAACAUGAUUAUGAUUCAGUGGGUUGCUAUAAAUAAACAAUUAUUUCUUUUACAGGAAAAUAUUCAUUUUUAUCAUUUAUACAUAUUUUCUUAAGCCAGGAAAAGGUAGCAACAACUUUAAUAAGUUACAAGGCAAGUAAUACAAGCAUGCGCAAAUCAUGUUGAGGCGACGACCCGAUCCAACAGAAAUAAAUUGUGCUCUGCGGAGCAUCAACGGUGCCCCCAUAGAUGCAUCUAUUUAAUCUGUCUAGGCGUUCGGCCUAUUCCAAAAAAUAAACACACACAGACAGUCAAUCAAGAAGUCAACACGGGGCAAUUAUCCAAAGAAAGCCAAGUCCUCUUUUAACUAUUUAAGAAAAUGAAGUUUAAUCCUUUUAGAAAUUCAUUUUGCUAAUUCAAUGGGAUAUGAGCAAUUCAAGAUGUCAAUAAAUUUACAAAUAAUCCAAGUAUAGCAUGCUCUUGGGUCCUAAACUGUCACACCUCCUUUUCUUUGCUGCACACCCCCGCAAAGGGAGCGUAAAGGAGUUUUUCCAAUUAAAGAACAAUCGAAACGUGAUUUAGUUAUUAAUUAUUUCAGAGUUGCCACUUAGGAGAUUAAUGGUGUCUUAAGUCACCGAUUUGAAUCCCUAAUCGAGGAAAAGGAUGACUCUGUUACAGUCUGCGAACCAGAAAUCCGAGUAAGGAAUUCUGUUAACCCGGAAAAAGGUAAUAUGCAUUCCCAGGUUCCGUGGGUCUAGCACGGUCGCUUAACUACUGUAUUUGAUUUUAUCUGAUUCUAAUACAUGCUAGCUUAUGUGCCUUUUAUUUAUAUACCGCUUUUACCAUUCUUUAUUUUAAAAGACUUGCGACGUCGUAAAAAUACGUCGCCGACCACGUCGCCAUCAAGGCACCCGUGUUAGUCAACAUAUUUGCCAUUAUUUAUUUUAAAGGACUUGCGACGUUGUGAAAACAUGUCUCGGACCAUGUCGCCAUCAGGGCAUCCGUGGUCGUUAACACAUUUCUACUUCGUUGAGAUUUGAAUUUGGGUUGCAUCAAUGCACACCCGAGUUUAAGAAAGUAAUUUAAUUAAAUCGCGCUUAAAGGUUCUAGCGUAAUAUUGUUUGGGAAAGGCCGUUGAAAUUCGCUAAACAGCCUUCCAAAUUCUAAUCAUUUUUAAUCACCAAUUACUGAGGGGCCCACAUUUAUUUUUGUUCGGUGAGGCUCGUCUCAUAUUUUUAAAAUUUUUUUUAGUUCAUUAUUUAUUCUAUAAGAAUUAUGACGUCGUGAAAAUGCGUUUCGAACUCCGUUUCCAUCAAGGUACCCGUGGUUGUCUAACACAUUUCGAUUUCGUCGAGAUUUAGAUUUGGGUUGCAUCAAUGCACACCUAGUUUAAGAAAGUAAUAUUAUUAAAUACGCGCCUAAAGCAACUACUCAUUUGCACUUUGCCAGGGCCAUGAAAUAUACUAAAUUGCACGCCUCGGAUUCUAAGAAUCAAUACAGAAUUAAAAUAAGGGCCAGUAAUUUUAUUUGGCGCGACGCUCCUCGAUUCCCAUCUGGCAAGGUCAUCCGUUUGUUUUUAACAGAAUAUAUCAAUAUUAUGAUUUGCACUAAAUUACACUUAUUAUUUACAAAGCAAGAAAAGUGACGUUACAUUGCAUAUUAUUUCCUUACGUCGUUUGCAUAAGCAAAAUAAAUAACUUUGCUAAAGACAAUUUCCAAUAUGCUAUUUAGAUCAAAUUCAGUUUUUUUUUAAAAAGAAAAAAAACAAAUAAAACAAAUUCUAACCUAUACAACUAUGUUCUCAAACCAGUAGCUUAAUGGACCCUUCAUAAAUAAUUUACCAAGUUAAACAACUAACAAUCUACUUUUAACAACAACAAAAAACAUAACUAAAGAAUUAACUAAUCAAAUAGGGACAAUUUCGUUUCAGUACGAACAGUAAAGAACAAAAAACAAAGAGUCCAUUCAUAAUAUCAAGAGGAACAGUUCUGGAAUUCAAAGAGCAAAUAAAGUUUUAGAAUUGAACCUUUAUAACUGCGUGUUGUUCUUGGAACAAUGAACCGGAAAAAACAAAACUCCAGGCCAGAUCUACGGUUGACGAACUCGACGGAUCGGAUACGGUGACCUCGACAGAUUCAACUCGACUUUGAACCAGCGAGAAGCUUGACUCGAUUAAGACACUUUAGCUAUAUCAAAGACUGUUUUGGAGGUGAGGAGUUGGGCAAAAGAGCUGGAUUUUUGAGCUCUUAUCGAAGCUUCUAACCAGUUUUCAUGGCUCCUCGGAGAUCGUCAUCGCCAAGCCACCGCCGGCGAAGAAACCCGGCGUUAUUUGUAUCGUCUUCUGCUGGUUCUGCGUUCAAAGCCAAGGAAACGCUGAUGGAUGUGAGGAAGAUGGAGUACGGGGGUGCCAAUGAUUGCUGCAGCUUUUGGCGUUUUUCUUUUUUCUUUUGCUUUUGUGUAUUUUCGUCCUUUUUUUUUUUGUAUUUGGUUGUGUGCGUUUAUAUAGAGUGCGUAAAUAUUAUGUGGGGGAGUUUUAUUUGAGGGAAAGUAUUAUGUGAGGUAAUAUUUGGGUGAAAGUUUUAGGUGGGGAAUAUUUUGCGG
rnacentral:lncRNA from 1 species